rnacentral:rRNA from 1 species
UCUGCCUGGUAGUGGGGGAUAACAUCCGGAAACGGGCGCUAAUACCGCGUACGUCCUACGGGAGAAAGCAGGGGAUCUUCGGACCUUGCGCUACCAGAUGAGCCCAGGCCGGAUUAGCUUGUUGGUGAGGUAAUGGCUCACCAAGGCGACGAUCCGUAACUGGUCUGAGAGGAUGAUCAGUCACACUGGAACUGAGACACGGUCCAGACUCCUACGGGAGGCAGCAGUGGGGAAUAUUGGACAAUGGGGGAAACCCUGAUCCAGCCAUGCCGCGUGUGUGAAGAAGGUCUUAGGAUUGUAAAGCACUUUAAGUUGGGAGGAAGGGCAGUUAACUAAUAUUUGACUGUUUUGACGUUACCGACAGAAUAAGCACCGGCUAACUUCGUGCCAGCAGCCGCGGUAAUACGAAGGGUGCAAGCGUUAAUCGGAAUUACUGGGCGUAAAGCGCGCGUAGGUGGUUCGUUAAGUUAGGAGUGAAAGCCCCGGGCUCAACCUGGGAAUUGCUUCUAAAACUGGCGAGCUAAAGUAUGGUAGAGGGUGGUGGAAUUUCCUGUGUAGCGGUGAAAUGCGUAGAUAUAGGAAGGAACAUCAGUGGCGAAGGCGACCACCUG